CUUGAUUUCGAUUGAAGCACGCGUCACAAUUGAAUAUGGCACAAGUGGAAAGUCUCCCACUCUGACUCCCCGCCGCAGAAAAGUUGUGGAUGCGAGGCAAAGAGCGCCUACUUUGGCUCCGGAUUCAUAAUACUCACAGCCUCUCCAUCAUCGGUUAAGAACCUUUAUGAGUAGAAUAUAUAAAUAUAUAUUUUUUUCUGCUUUUGUGCACUGGGCAUCAUGUUCGUUGCGCUAGACGGAAUUGACACGGCGUGCAACUGAAUCCAUAGCCUCUGUGGCCUUCACUAGAUCAACACAAAUCGUCAGGAAGAAGCUCACUAGUGAGUGCAGACUCCAGCACGUCAAACAACCUACCGCAAGAAUUUGCUCUAUUGGCUGCCUUAGUGCGCAAUUUCUCGUCAACAUUAUGCAUGGAAGUGUAGUUGAUUUGGAUUUCGUCUAUUUGGUUUCUUUGUGCACAAACGUGUGCUCUUUUGCAAAUUGUCACAUUGGGAUUCGGAGGUCCCUUGCAUUAACACACACUUCCUUAGAUAGCCAGCUUGUGCAAGGGGACCGAGGUAAGCGAAGAUGGAUGAUACCUAUUUGUGUUUGAUCUGGAGAAAACCUGUUACGCACACAACGGGGAGGGAAUAACAGCUCAAGCAUGUCACUUGUUUUGCAGUGGGUAACCUACACUUUGACAGCGCUGCUUGUUCGCACAGCUUAACAGCAUGUUCCUGACAGCUUACUUUCUCUCAGAUCCAAAGACAACUCGAUGUUAAGGAACCAUUACACUACUGUAGCCCCACAGAAUGAAUCAGUGAAAAGAGUAGACAGGAAAGGGUGGCGGGAUGCCACCGCUACAAUGCAAAAUCUAAUGAGGUGCAUGACAUUGCAAAUGUUUGAAAGUGUAAAAGGCUACAAUAUUAACAAAACAACAAUUACGGGAAUCUAACAAAGUUACUGACAGGUUCAAGCUGUAGAAGAAACAGAGUUACGGACAAUUGAACCGGCAUCGAGGUAAUCUUCCACUGCGUCGCACUGUCGCUCGUGUUGUCCCACUACACCAAAAACAUCUCAACAGCUGCAAAAUUGUGAACUAUCAUUCUGAUGCCAUGUAACUACAAAAUAGAACAUGAGCCUCUGUACAAUACUGUUUUUUGUCUUAAAUCACCUGACCCAGAUUUUGAAU